UGAAGGCGGGAGCUUGCUCCUGCUGGAUUAGUGGCGAACGGGUGAGUAACACGUGAGUAACCUGCCCUUGACUCUGGGAUAAGCGUUGGAAACGACGUCUAAUACCGGAUACGAGCUAGGACCGCAUGGUCACUAGCUGGAAAGAACUUUGGUCAAGGAUGGACUCGCGGCCUAUCAGCUAGUUGGUGAGGUAACGGCCCACCAAGGCGACGACGGGUAGCCGGCCUGAGAGGGUGACCGGCCACACUGGGACUGAGACACGGCCCAGACUCCUACGGGAGGCAGCAGUGGGGAAUAUUGCACAAUGGGCGCAAGCCUGAUGCAGCAACGCCGCGUGAGGGACGACGGCCUUCGGGUUGUAAACCUCUUUUAGCAGGGAAGAAGCGAAAGUGACGGUACCUGCAGAAAAAGCACCGGCUAACUACGUGCCAGCAGCCGCGGUAAUACGUAGGGUGCAAGCGUUGUCCGGAAUUAUUGGGCGUAAAGAGCUCGUAGGCGGUUUGUCGCGUCUGCUGUGAAAAUCCGAGGCUCAACCUCGGACCUGCAGUGGGUACGGGCAAACUAGAGUGCGGUAGGGGAGAUUGGAAUUCCUGGUGUAGCGGUGGAAUGCGCAGAUAUCAGGAGGAACACCAAUGGCGAAGGCAGAUCUCUGGGCCGUAACUGACGCUGAGGAGCGAAAGCGUGGGGAGCGAACAGGAUU
rnacentral:rRNA from 1 species